GGGGGGAAUAUUGCACAAUGGACGAAAGCCUGAUGCAGCAACGCCGCGUGAGGGAAGACGGUUUUCGGAUUGUAAACCUCUGUUUUCGGUGACGAACAAAUGACGGUAACCGAGUAGGAAGCCACGGCUAACUACGUGCCAGCAGCCGCGGUAAUACGUAGGUGGCAAGCGUUAUCCGGAAUUACUGGGUGUAAAGGAAGCGCAGGCAGGAUAGCAAGUCAGCUGUGAAAACUAUGGGCUCAACCCAUAA
rnacentral:rRNA from 1 species